AGCGAACGUUUGCGGCGGGCCUAACACAUGCAAGUCGAACGGGCUAGCAAUAGUCAGUGGCGCACGGGUGCGUAACACGUGGGUAAUCAACCCUUCAGCUCGGGAUAACGCCUUGAAAGGGGCGCUAAUACCGGAUGCGACGCGAGGAGCCUCGGCGCUUCGCGGGAAAGAUUCGCAAGGAUCACUGAAGGACGAGCCUGCGGCCCAUCAGCUAAGUUGGUGAGGUAAGAGCUCACCAAGGCGAAGACGGGUAGCUGGUCUGAGAGGAUGAUCAGCCACACUGGAACUGAGACACGGUCCAGACUCCUACGGGAGGCAGCAGUGGGGAAUAUUGCGCAAUGGGCGAAAGCCUGACGCAGCCACGCCGCGUGAGCGAUGAAGGCCU
rnacentral:rRNA from 1 species